UUUUUGGGGCCCCUUACACAGCUCAAGGUCUGUGCCCCAGGGCCUGACGGUGAGUAUGCCCAUAAGGCCCACCCAUAAGUCCUACAUGUUCCACCCAUGAGUUCGCUCACAGGGAGUGGAGUGUGUAGGGGAUGUGUUAUGUGUUACUGUAGAGUAUCUAAUGUGUGUGCUUAUGGAAUGUAGUGUAUAGGGAUACCAGUUUGUGUAGGUGAUGCAGUGUGUUUGUAUGUAAGGGA